rnacentral:lncRNA from 1 species
GUAGACCCACUGCCUUUGGUUGGGCUGGCUGAAUCGCUGGGGACUGCGGCCAGUCUCUUAAAAAGGAGAACAAAAAGCCGAAGACCUUGUGUGGCCGCCGGGACAAAGCACCUUGGGCUCGGCGAGAAGGGACGCGCAGGAGCGCUGAACCCGGAACACGCGUGGCCGCUGCGGAAGGGCGUCCGCCCGGCGUGCGGAACGCUGAGGGGACUCUCAUCCUCUGUCUCGCCCCCUUUUUUUGACCCGGGGAUCCAGCCGCAUUAUACACGAGUGACCUUUUAAAUCUACGUCCACCCUUUACCUGCGAGAGGACUGCAGCAGGCGAGUUCCGGAAGGCUGAAUCCCCAGGUCCCGGCCCCGGACCGCGGCAACUCGCCCCUGCGGCACGCCCGGCCCGGCUGCGCCCCCACUCAGCGAUGGAGGAAAAAGCCUGGAUGCGAAAGGAUGGGGGAGAACAAAGAGCCUUUGGAAGACGUCGCUGUUAUCUCAUUGUCUGUGUGAUUGGGGGAGCUGCGGCGGGGAGGAUGCUGUGGUCCCUUCCUCCGGCGCUCCCCACCCCCAUCCCUCUCCCCACUGUCAGUGCGCACGCACACGCGCCGCUUUUUAUUUCUUUUUCCUGGUUUUCUUAUUCCAUCUUCUACCCACCCACCUUGCUUUCUUUCACCUUUCCUUCCUUCCUUCCUCCUUUCCUUCCUCAGGAGAAAGGCCUCUCUCU